CCCAAAAUCUAAAGUUAAUACAACAAAGUAAAUGAUUAAAAUUGAUUAAUAUUUACUGCUAUUAUUAACUCGAUCACUUCAAUCAAUAAUUGCUGCUUCAAAAGCGACCAAUAGUCAACCAUUUACACGUGAUGAGUCUCCAUCAACUGACCAUUUCAACAAUAAAUUAUUUCCGAUUAAUUGCACUAAUCGCUAAACAAGAUGAUAAUAGGUUUUGUUGAGUUACUUUCAAGCAUAGAGACACACACGUGACGGUCAGAUUAUUAUGGUCAGUUUUUAAAAUGUCAACAGAUUGAAAUUAAAAUUGGUUCAUGAAGAGCAAAACUGUUCAAAGCAAUCAAUCAAAUUGUUGAUGAAAAAUUCAACGCAAACUCGCCUUUAAAAUGAUUUCAUAUAAAAAUCAUUUUCCCAUUGAAAUUGUAUUGACAAACAAAAGUCUAAACCUUUUAGUAAAGUCUAGUUAAGUUAACCAAACCAGUUAACCCAAAAUUUUGCGAUUCUAUCACUCAACUAUAAAGUUAACCAGUUUUGUCAGCUGAUACUUGGAUUUAUAGUAAAAAUGUUCAUCAACAAAAUUAAAAUUGUUGUCUUUAUAGUGAUAUUUGGUGUCGCCCUGAGUAAAAGACGUUUCUCGGAGAUUGAAUCAAUAUUGAACAACGAUUUAAACAAAACAGUUGUUCAAGCUCCAAGUGAAAAUAUUAUCGGAGUCCUUUCAGAGUUGGAAAAAUAUUUGGCAAUUGUAGGAAGACCAAGGUUUGGUCGAAGUUUGAAUCAAAAAUCAUCAAGUAAAUUGGAUACAUUUGAUUGUAACAGGAUUUGUGACAAAUUGUUCAGAUAACCCGAAACCAAAGAAGAAAACCAAAGACCCAAACCCAAACCAGAUAAAAGCCAAAAUCAAUGACAAAAAUUGGGUUAACCCAAAAGUCAGUUGAUUCAACCUCAACAUAUACUUGAAAUUAAUUACUCAAUUCAGCCACUAAAUUGAAAGAAAAAUGUUGAUUCUGUAAAUUUAACCUUAAUUUAAUAAACUGUGAUUAGAUUGAAA